UACGAAGGGGGCUAGCGUUGCUCGGAUUGACUGGGCGUAAAGCGUGCGUAGGCGGUUCGCUGUGUCCGAUGUGAAAGCCCCGGGCUUAACCUGGGAAUGGCAUUGGAAACUGGCGGGCUUGAGUGCGGCAGAGGGGGGUGGAAUUCCGCGUGUAGCAGUGAAAUGCGUAGAGAUGCGGAGGAACACCGAUGGCGAAGGCAGCCCCCUGGGUCGACACUGACGCUCAGGCACGAAAGCGUGGGGAGCAAACAGG
rnacentral:rRNA from 1 species